rnacentral:misc_RNA from 1 species
GAUGAAGAACGUAGCGAAAUGCGAUAAGUAGUGUGAAUUGCAGAAUUCCGUGAAUCAUCGAAUCUUUGAACGCACAUUGCGCCUUCUGGUAUUCCGGAAGGCAUGCCUGUUCGAGAGUCAUUAACAACCGUUUCGAUCCCUUUCUUUCAGAAAUUACAAAGAGGAAAAGGGUUUGGUUAUGGUGGAGGAGGGAAAGGGAGCGUUUAGCCUGUAAAAAAAGAGGCUGUGUUCCGCCUCCCCCCCAAAAUUGUACAGGCGGUCGUGUGCGCCCACGCAUCGAGGUGUUGUAAAAGCUGCCACGGCACUUUUCACCUGUGCAGUGCGAGAUUGGCCAGCCGGUUUAAAAACCCCUCCAAACAAUCAAAGGUUGACCUCGGUUCAGGUAGGGAUACCCGCUGAACUUAAGCAUAUCAAUAAGCGGAGGA